AGAAUUGACAAGCUUCGUCGCCAAAAUUCACCUCUUCGUGCACAGGUUAUACUUAUCACGCAUUGCCCCAGCUCUAAGUGCCGUAGCCGGAGAGUCACGGCGCUGAGACGCGCGCGCCGCAUGCCCCCAGCAGCCGGCCUGGAGUGUGCGCUCGGCGAGCGUGCCCGUCUCGAGUGGACGCCUUGGCGGCGGCAGCCGAUCGAGACCGGGGGAAGCUGCGGUCGGCACCGAAGCAAGAAACCGUGGCACGUCUUCGGUGGGGCAGAAACCCGCGGGAAGCCGUCAGCCGGCCCAAGGUUGGUUCCGCUGUUCGCACCAUUAAUCGAGGCGAACGCUGUUCAUCCGCCGCCUCUUGCCCGCACCGCCGGCGCUGACAAGCUCCGAUGCGGCGCUGGGCAACCGUAAAGACAUGUCCAGAGGAUGCACCGCUGCUCAGGCACGUCGCCCCGACGAACCGCUGGCUGAGUCGUUCCACGGCUCCGCACACGUGGCUUCGCCUGGAAGGGGCCCCGCGCGCUUCUUGUACGUGGGCCUUCGCGGCAGUCUUGUUCUUCGCUGCCGCUCAGACGCCGGGCCCCUCUUGAGUGUGCGUGAGCUUGCGCCCUACGUCUUCUGUCGUACGUACGCAUGAUCGUAAGACGUUCUCUGUAUGAUGCGCGUUCUGUGGAAUAAUCUGAUGAGCGGCCUGACAACGAGGAUAUAUCUCCUGGUCAGGGAUACGAUGAAUCCUCGUUGGAUGCGCAUGCAAUGAACAUCAACACGGUAGAGGAGAACUAAGGCUUUUCAUCUUUCGCCACAAGCAGCAGCAAUAAAUAUUCACUGCAGAGUCCGUUGACGCUUUUUGUGUGAUCCUGCAAUAAAACCUCGGCUUGGGCUA
rnacentral:lncRNA from 1 species